rnacentral:misc_RNA from 1 species
AAGUCGUAACAAGGUCUCCGUUGGUGAACCAGCGGAGGGAUCAUUACCGAGUUUACCACAACUCCCAAACCCCUGUGAACAUACCUAGCGUUGCCUCGGCAGGCCGCGCCCCGCCUCCCCUCGGGCGGGCGGGCGGUAGCCUGCCGACGGCCCACGAAACUCUUGUUUGUUAAACACUGGCAUUCUGAACGUACAAGCAAAUCAGUUAAAACUUUCAACAACGGAUCUCUUGGUUCUG